rnacentral:rRNA from 1 species
ACUCCUACGGGAGGCAGCAGUAGGGAAUCUUCCACAAUGGGCGCAAGCCUGAUGGAGCAACACCGCGUGAGUGAAGAAGGGUUUCGGCUCGUAAAGCUCUGUUGUUAAAGAAGAACACGUAUGAGAGUAACUGUUCAUACGUUGACGGUAUUUAACCAGAAAGUCACGGCUAACUACGUGCCAGCAGCCGCGGUAAUACGUAGGUGGCAAGCGUUAUCCGGAUUUAUUGGGCGUAAAGAGAGUGCAGGCGGUUUUCUAAGUCUGAUGUGAAAGCCUUCGGCUUAACCGGAGAAGUGCAUCGGAAACUGGAUAACUUGAGUGCAGAAGAGGGUAGUGGAACUCCAUGUGUAGCGGUGGAAUGCGUAGAUAUAUGGAAGAACACCGAGUGGCGAAGGCGGCUACCUGGUCUGCAACUGACACUGAGACUCGAAAGCAUGGGUAGCG